rnacentral:lncRNA from 1 species
CGUUUACUCGCUUUCCGUUUUGGUACUUGGCAUUUGGUAUGUGUAUUUGGUAUUUUUAUACUUGUUUCCAGUUGGUGACCCUUAUUUUGCAUGCCAUAUCGCGGGCUCCUCCCACCUUAGAUGACGGAGAGCCAAGCGAGACUGUGGGUCUUGUGGAUGGCGAGGACUUCGUGGACUAUCCCGGAGAGUAGAGAGUAGCGCUUGUUAGGCUACAUUUUUGGUUAGGCUUAGGGCCUAGUUGUAUUUUGGAUGACUGUAUGUCUUAUACAUUUAUACUCAGACAUGUUUAGUGCCUUUUGGCCUUGUGAUAUAUUCGGUNNNNN